UACGUAGGGGGCAAGCGUCGUUCGGAUUCAUUGGGCGUAAAGGGUGCGUAGGCGGCGCGGUAAGUCGGGUGUGAAAUCUCGGAGCUUAACUCCGAAACUGCAUUCGAUACUGCCGUGCUUGAGGACUGGAGAGGAGACUGGAAUUUACGGUGUAGCGGUGAAAUGCGUAGAUAUCAGGAGGAACACCUAUUGCGAAGGCAGCUCGCUGGGACGUAACUGACGCUGAGACGCGAAAGCGUGGGGAGCAAACAGG
rnacentral:rRNA from 1 species